UGGGGAAUUUUGGACAAUGGGCGCAAGCCUGAUCCAGCAAUGCCGCGUGCAGGAUGAAUGCCUUCGGGUUGUAAACUGCUUUUGUACGGAACGAAACGGCUCUGGUUAAUACCUGGGGCUAAUGACGGUACCGUAAGAAUAAGCACCGGCUAACUACGUGCCAGCAGCCGCGGUAAUACGUAGGGUGCGAGCGUUAAUCGGAAUUACUGGGCGUAAAGCGUGCGCAGGCGGUGAUGUAAGACAGAUGUGAAAUCCCCGGGCUCAACCUGGGACCUGCAUUUGUGACUGCAUCGCUGGAGUGCGGCAGAGGGUGGUGGAAUUCCGCGAGUAGCAAUGAAAUGCGUAGAGAUGCGGAGGAACACCGAUGGAGAAGGCAAUCCCCUGGGCCUGCACUGACGCUCAUGCACGAAAGCGUGAGGAGCAAACA
rnacentral:rRNA from 1 species